GUUAAGAGCAAAACCUGGUCUCUAGAGGACAGCCAUAUUCAAACUCUUCUUCGUACCUUUUUCAUGUCUUAUUCUGAUAGGCAUGCUCUGAACCUUCUAGUGAGGAACAAGGAGCAUAAGAGAUGUCAUUUUGGCUUAGGAGACACUCAUAGUCAGCUUUUUGCAAGAAGACCUGGUCAGCCCUAGAUAAAGAAGAUGUCUCAGCCAGCUGUCCAUGCCACCGAACCUCAAAAAGACCCGAAAACAAGACACUUGGUUCAUAUUUCAAAGAAUGGACAGAAAAUGAAAAAAAAAAAAACUGUCCAGAGCAAGAACUUCCAGCCAUCUGCCUAAUACCAGGAAGCAGCUCUUCCAGAUCUCCGCUUUUUCAUCUGGCUUAGAAAUGCACUCAGCACGGGCACGCACUUCCAGGAGCCUGGCAGAAAAUGCUGAGACGAGGUCCCACUCUUGACUUGGACGGACCAUGAAGGAAUGAGUUGAGGGUAUCCACAGACUUUCAAAGCUGGUGGCCUAAGGCCAGCCCCCUGCACAACCUGCUCUGUGCCCUCCAUCACCACAGGUCCUGGGCUUGUGACAGUCCUUAGUAUUUGUAACUAUAGCACCACUGUAAAUCAGUACCUUAACAGUCUCUGUGUUUUAUCAGGCAUAGAUAAAUUUAACCUACUUUAAAUCACACAGAUAAUUUCAAGAUAAAGGCUAAUCACAAGAGAAAGGCUCAUUCCUUGCCUAAAUUUUGAUAUGGGACAAUAGAGGACCUUAAACCAAAACAGAGUCAACUUAAUUGUCAGUCUGGUGCCCUCCAAAGUUCACUUCUUCAUUUACCAUCCUCCUGUAUAGCUUUCCACAAAGGGACCUCCGAGUGUCGCAAAUUCAAAGUGUUCUUAAUGUAAUGGAUGGAAAACAUCAUGUUAUAUAAAAAGACAUUUUUCAGCUGAAAGUUGAUAACUGUACAUCUAUUUUUUAUUCUCUCAAGUAUGUAAAAUAAGUUGUUUAGAGACCCAGUCUCAUGCUUCGGAUGACUAAAUGUGCCCUGAAUAGUUCAGUGUAAUUGAACAUAAAUAAUGUGGGAAGCCCAAAAAUUCUCAUUCAGGGCUCAC